rnacentral:rRNA from 1 species
GAUGAACGCUGGCGGCGUGCCUAAUACAUGCAAGUCGAGCGAACAGAUGAGGAGCUUGCUCCUCUGACGUUAGCGGCGGACGGGUGAGUAACACGUGGAUAACCUACCUAUAAGACUGGGAUAACUUCGGGAAACCGGAGCUAAUACCGGAUAAUAUAUUGAACCGCAUGGUUCAAUAGUGAAAGACGGUUUUGCUGUCACUUAUAGAUGGAUCCGCGCCGCAUUAGCUAGUUGGUAAGGUAACGGCUUACCAAGGCAACGAUGCGUAGCCGACCUGAGAGGGUGAUCGGCCACACUGGAACUGAGACACGGUCCAGACUCCUACGGGAGGCAGCAGUAGGGAAUCUUGCGCAAUGGGCGAAAGCCUGACGGAGCAACGCCGCGUGAGUGAUGAAGGUCUUCGGAUCGUAAAACUCUGUUAUGAGGGAAGAACAAAUGUGUAAGUAACUAUGCACGUCUUGACGGUACCUAAUCAGAAAGCCACGGCUAACUACGUG